CCUACGGGAGGCAGCAGUGGGGAAUAUUGCGCAAUGGGGGAAACCCUGACGCAGCGACGCCGUGUGAGGGAAGAAGGCCUUCGGGUCGUAAACCUCUGUCGGGAGGGAAGAACCGCCGGUUUCCGAACAGGGAGCCGGUCUGACGGUACCUCCGAAGGAAGCGCCGGCUAACUCCGUGCCAGCAGCCGCGGUAAUACGGAGGGCGCGAGCGUUAAUCGGAAUCACUGGGCGUAAAGCGCGCGUAGGCGGCUUGAUAAGUCGGGCGUGAAAGCCCUCGGCCCAACCGAGGAACUGCGUUCGAUACUGUUAGGCUUGAGUCCUGGAGAGGGUGGCGGAAUUCCGGGUGUAGGAGUGAAAUCCGUAGAUAUCCGGAGGAACACCGGUGGCGAAGGCGGCCACCUGGACAGGUACUGACGCUGAGGUGCGAAAGCGUGGGGAG
rnacentral:rRNA from 1 species